rnacentral:rRNA from 1 species
ACGCGAAAGGGGAGCAAUCCCUGAGUAGAGUGGCAAACGGGUGAGUAACACGUGGGUGACCUGCCUCAGAGUGGGGGAUAACGUCCCGAAAGGGACGCUAAUACCGCAUAACAUCCUGCCCUUGGACGGGUGGAGAUCAAAGCCGGGGAUCGCAAGACCUGGCGCUUGGAGAGGGGCCCGCGUCUGAUUAGCUAGUUGGUAGGGUAAUGGCCUACCAAGGCAACGAUCAGUAUCCGGCCUGAGAGGGCGGACGGACACACUGGGACUGAGACACGGCCCAGACUCCUACGGGAGGCAGCAGUGGGGAAUUGUUCGCAAUGGGCGCAAGCCUGACGACGCAACGCCGCGUGGAGGAUGAAGAUCUUCGGGUCGUAAACUCCUGUCGAGCGGGAAGAACUCCCGCCUGGUGAAUAUCCGGGCGGGUUGACGGUACCGCUAAAGGAAGCCCCGGCUAACUCCGUGCCAGCAGCCGCGGUAAUACGGGGGGGGCAAGCGUUG